rnacentral:lncRNA from 1 species
UUUUUUUUUUAUCCUAAAUGUUAAUCCACUGGUGCUUUUUGAUGUUGCAAAUACCACCUCCUAGCGGUCUGUCUUCUUUGUUGAGCUGGUGGUUAAGUAGAAUUUUUCCUGAUGACCCAGAAUUGGUUUCAAGAACAUAAAAUACACUGUACCACAUAUUCUGUAGAAAGCUACAAACAGGGUCAGAUUUAUUUGGACUAUUUUAAGUUUUUGGCUUUUAUGAAUAAGGUUGCUAUGAAUAUUUGCAUACGGUGAACAAAGAUUUUCAUUUUGGUUGACCAGUAAUUACAAUUCAGUCAUUACUUGACAAGUGAAGUUGCUUCCCAAUCUGCGCUUUUCCCAAUACAUUUGUUGUCAUUAAAUUUGAUAAGUAAUCAACUAUGAAACUAUCUUUACCCUCAAAUGAUCAUCAUUAAACUGUAACUUUUUUCAGCUCCAGCACAUUUGUUUAGAACUUCAUCUGAGUCGGUGACAUGAGGGCCUUCUUUACUAAAUUAGUAAUUUUUGAAUACUGGAAGAAAUAUUGCAGUUGUGUGCGUGUGCACUAUUUACAGUGAGUGUAAUGACUACAGACAUAAUGUACUUUUAAGUUUAAUCUUCCUUGUUAACACUUUUUCUAUAGCUUUCUUAAGUCUAGACAAUCAACAAAACUAUCAAGCCCCGAUUUGUAGAAUUUGCAAUAUCCAUGGUGCAAAUAAUCCCAUCCUUGCUGUGUUCAGGGCACCAAUAUUAGGUCAAUAAAAUGAGAUUGGGAUGAGCCAGACAGUAGUAGGUUACAUAGCAUUUCCACCAUUCUGUUACAGUAGAUGUGAAUAAUGUCUAGAGCGUGGGUAAUGCUAAAUGAAAAAAGGCACCUGGGAGGGUUAUUUUUAACGUUUUUUUUUUUCAAGGAGUUUAUUGAUUUGAGAGAAAGAGAAAGCAAGCAAACAAAAGAGAGAGCAUGAUGGGGGGAGGGGCAAGCAGAUUCCCCACUGAGCAGGGAGCCUGAAGAGGCAGGACUUGAUCCCAAGACCCUAAGACCAUGACUUGAGUCAAAGGCAGACUCCUAACCCACUAAGCCACCCAGGCAUCCCUAAGAAUUUUUUUUAUAAUAAUCUCUACGCCCAAUGUGGGGCUGGAACUCACAACCUGGAGAUUAAGAGUCAUAUGCUCUGAUGUGGGAAACAAAGGCAGAAAAGAAAUUAAGUUUCCUUACUCCCUACAGCCCACUGACAAGUCCUUGAAACAGGCCCAGUGACAUUCCUCCAGGAGCUCAGCUGCCUCAAUGUUAAUACUCUGCUGAGGGCAGAAGGUAAUCCUAGCCCGCCCUCCAAGGAUCCUGAGUCUCCUUUAACAUACAAAAAUUCCUUUAGAAAUUUCCUUUAUCUCUACCCCCCAAGAUAUGUGUUGACAAUCAUCCCCCAAGCAUAUGACUCACCAAUGUACAUCUGAUGGGUCUCGACUCAGGUUUUAUUAGACGGUAAUAAGUGACUUUUUCACAAUAAUAGCUAGCCAACCUCAAGGUCCUGGAAACCUUGCUCCCAAAAUUCCUUAGAGCCUUGCACUCUCCCCAACGCCCUCCCAAUUUGAAAGUCUAUCAUGGGCCAGCCCUCAUGAUCCCAGGGAAGCUCUUCCUGCCCACAGGUCCUGGCCAUGGAAACUACUUUAAUGAAACCACUGCUUUGCACCAAAGACAUCUCAAGAAUAUUUUCUUGGCCUUGGGCUUCAAACCCUAACGUUCUUUCCUACAUCAUAUGACGCCCAAUACGGGUGAGCCUUUGAGUCCAGUCUCCUCUGGACUUUGAGCUGUGGUACAAGCUUGGUUCUUCCUCUCCUCUCCUUUCACUGUCAUUCCAGGGGCCCUUCAAGGAGUAGUCUUAUUGAAACACUUUCAUGCUGAUUGCUCAGUCUGCAAUCCUCUAGCCUGUGGCUACUCUAUGGGAAGGAGAAAGCUUGCCUUUUGGCUGGAAGUUAGUACCCUGGCUGGAGUGGUAAUAAGACCCAGAAACUUGAUACCCUCUCUGUAUCCUGUCCUUCUACAAGGUUGUCUACCUUGGGCACGGGACAGCCACCUAAAUCACCAGGAUGGCUGUCAAUGUUGACUCCCAUGUGAGGUUCCCUCCUGACUGAUCUAAUGUGAUCCCCUCCACAUCCUGGUCUAGCCCCUUCUGAGGCCUCCACUGGGAGCCAGCAGAAAUCAGCACCCAAUGGAAUUAAAGCCCAACUGGGGACUGUUUCCCACGGAAGUUGGCUAUAGGGACUACAUGUGUUGAAAUGUCACUUAGACCAUGAUAGAUUUCUAUCUUUACUGUUUUCUGUCAAUGUUCUGACUUACUAUUUAAAUACAAAAUUGGGUAAUUUCCCCUUGUAAAACUUUCAUAGUGUUCUCCGUGGGUUAGAAAUGGCAAGGCAAUAAUGCGGCCUUCCGGGCAUGGGACGGCACAGCAUGGUCUCAGUCCAUUCCCCAGGCACCCAUUGGUAGCCUAGGAUGUGAUGGGGAAGGGGGGGAUACGGGGCCUUUUACUGUGGGAUGCCUUCAUGGUAAGGCAGGAUGGUGAUCAAUAGUGUUUCUUUGGGAGACGCCUCCAGUCACUUUUGACACAUGGAAACUCUGACACAUCCUGCAUGGCACACCACCCAGGAAUUGGGGGAUUUUGGUGAUAGACCUUCUCUACUUUUCUGGGAGCUUGGCCUCAGUAGGCUUCUUCUUCAGUUCCCAAGGACUCUUCCUUGGGGUGCUUUUUAACCCAUUGGAAACAAUUUCAAUCACAGAAUUUAGGAAAGGACUGAUGAUCUGUAACACUACAUGGCUUCAGUAGGAUGUUAGAUCUCUCUGCAGGCAACAGGGCAGAAUGUGUUUGCCCAAAUGUAUCUGGCUAGUAAACUCCCUCCUGACAUAC